CGAACGCGGAUAAGAAAAAAAUCUCGGUGCCCUUCCACUCUGUGAAGGAAGAUGACCAGCAAAGCUGUGUAUGUGGGCCUUUUAAUGGGGAACUGCACCUCCGCCGCGGGUCGGCCCACCCAUUGCACUAUCUUCGGGAUCGGCCCAUGCAUGGGGACUGCUUCCCGCCUGCUUCACCGCCGCCGUGGGCAUUCGUUAACCUGCUGGUCUACUACGUGGUCGCUGUGCCGUCCGCCAUCCCGCCCUUCACAGUGUCGCCCACCGAAAGCCCCGCGCAGCACUACCACCUGGAAGAUGCGCGCGCAUUCAACGAAUUCAUGCCUGGGAUCAUCAAGUUCGCUGGUAUUAAGUUGAUAAGAUCGACGCUGGAAUCAUGUCCCACCCCGUAUUUAUGUGCCUGGCCGUCUUGUGCUUUCAGUGGGCAUGAGAGCAGCCAUCGCGGAAGCAUGGCUAAUCCCUUCGUUUUCUACGCUCCGCAGGUGCUCGUUGCUAUCGUCACCCACGAACAGCUGUCAUCACCGAUAACUCCGGUUAUCAACACUACAGUGGAAUGUGCGCUGCUGCCCCUCAUCAAUGAAACCGGCACGUGCUCACCUUGAACGCCAUCUGGCGCCUACACCAUAGGAAUCGACUGCGAAACCUCAUCUGUGUCAGCGCCACCAUGCGACAUCUGGAUGCUGGAUUCCCAGUGGAAGGUCCCAUCGGCACUGACACUAGGGCUCCCGCCAAGUACAAUACAGCCGCGAUUGUUGACACCGCGUGGUGAGCUCGGUUGCUGUACCAUAGUGCAGACAACUAACCCAUUGCUCUUCGCCACGCAGGUUGGUAACAAGUAUUCUCUUUUUGCAAAGAAGUCUAGCAAUUAUCUUCUGGUGCAGCUGAAGAGCCCCCGGUGCUGUGUCGCUAUCGCUGUUGAGAGCGUUUGUGCCAUUCGGUCCCUGCUUCUCUUGUCAGGAGACAUCGAGUCCAACCCGGGUCCCGAUAGUGCUGACCUUGUACUAAAAGAGCUGCAAAAACUAUCAGCCGGCCAAAAAUAAAUAAUAACAGAAAUGAAAGGCAUUAAGAACCAACUACUGG